UACGGAGGGUGCAAGCGUUAAUCGGAAUUACUGGGCGUAAAGCGUGCGCAGGCGGUUUGUUAAGUCCGUUGUGAAAGCCCCGAGCUCAACUUGGGAAUUGCAGUGGAUACUGGCAGGCUGGAGUACGGUAGAGGAAGGUGGAAUUCCCGGUGUAGCAGUGAAAUGCGUAGAUAUCGGGAGGAACACCAGUGGCGAAGGCGGCCUUCUGGACCAGUACUGACGCUCAUGCACGAAAGCGUGGGGAGCAAACGGG
rnacentral:rRNA from 1 species